rnacentral:rRNA from 1 species
CCUACGGGAGGCUGCAGUGGGGAAUAUUGGACAAUGGGCGAAAGCCUGAUCCAGCCAUGCCGCGUGUGUGAAGAAGGCCUUCGGGUUGUAAAGCACUUUCAGUGGGGAAGAAAGCCUUGGGGCUAAUACCCUCGAGGAAGGACAUCACCCACAGAAGAACCACCGGCUAACUCCGUGCCAGCAGCCGCGGUAAUACGGAGGGUGCGAGCGUUAAUCGGAAUUACUGGGCGUAAAGCGCGCGUAGGCGGUCUGAUAAGCCGGUUGUGAAAGCCCCGGGCUCAACCUGGGAACGGCAUCCGGAACUGUCAGGCUAGAGUGCAGGAGAGGAAGGUAGAAUUCCCGGUGUAGCGGUGAAAUGCGUAGAGAUCGGGAGGAAUACCAGUGGCGAAGGCGGCCUUCUGGACUGACACUGACGCUGAGGUGCGAAAGCGUGGGUAGCAAACAGGAUUAGAUACCCGAGUAGUC